CCAAAUACUUCUCCUAGUGAUAGAAACACACAGAAAGUGACGCUGUCCGAGGAAGUGAUGACACUGGGGUGGAAAAUAAGACUCUGACAGAGCCGGCCGUGAUCCAACAAUGGCCCUGCUCCGUGCUGGAAAUCUUUAGAAACAAGAAGCAGCAAUGUAUAAGCCUCUGCCAUGAGGGUCUAAACCCCGGGAAACGUCUGUGGAAGAUGCGCACAAGAAACAGCCCAAUCCUGAGUCCCCAGGAUUAAUGUAAACAUAUAGAGAUAUAUUAUGCCAAGUCCUGAAGAACUGAAGAGACGUUCUUAAAGAAACAAGGUGGGCAAAGAAGGUGAAGAGGGGGUGACGGCUGUCUAAUGGUGCCACUCCUUACAACGGGCCAGGAGGUGACAGGCUACUUGUUGCAGUGUAAUUUGAAAUGGACAAUUCGAUGAGCUUUGGCAUGUCUAUCCUGUUAUCUAACCACUGCCACGAUCAAGAUAUGGAACAUUUCUAGCAUCUCAGAACGUUCCCUCAGGUUCCUCUGUACUUCUGCGCCCACCCCUGCCCAGGCAACUGCUGGUCCACCUUCUCUCACCAUGAUUUCAUCCUUUCUAAAGACUCAUAUAAAUGGAAUCAUAGGGUACAAAGACUUUUUGCUUGGUUUUUAGAAGAUGAAUUAUCGUGUGGGCUGACCUGUCCCUCCCUGGGUCCCUGUUGCCCUCCAUGGUCACAGGGCUCUGGAAACUCCAUGUGCGGCUUUUGUAGCCAUCUUGUAUCUUGCAUUGCAUCUUGCUGACCACCUUGCAAGGUCAGUAAUGGACCCUUUAUGUGCACCAUAGAGUAGAUGGGGGUCUUAUGUAUUCAUCCGAAGGAAGCAACUAGAAGAUUUUCUAGGACUAUCAUAGUAUAACAUGGACAACUCUUCAUGCUGCCUUUCAGAGGUCUCCCUUUCUAGCCAGGCAUGAGGAGAGAAAGAAGAAUCCUCACACAAGAAUCUCUCAAUGGUGGGAAGAGACACUGAAAGCCAUGAUAAGGUUUAGAUCAUGGUCUGGGGGUCUGGGGGUAGUUAGGGAAUAAAAUCUCACCACACAAA